UGGCGGAACUGGCAGACGCACAGGACUUAAAAUCCUGCGGUGGUUAAACACCGUACCGGUUCGAUUCCGGU
rnacentral:tRNA from 1 species